rnacentral:rRNA from 1 species
GAUGAACGCUGGCGGCGUGCCUAAUACAUGCCAGUCGAGCGAACGGACGAGAAGCUUGCUUCUCUAAUGUUGGCGGCGGACGGGUGAGUAACACGUGGAUAACCUACCUAUAUGACUGGGAUAACUACGGGAAACCGGAGCUAAUAACGGAUAAUAUUUUGUACCGCAUGGUUCAAAAGUGAAAGACGGUCUUGCUGUCACUUAUAGAUGGAUCCGCGCUGCAUUAGCUAGUUGGUAAGGUAACGGCUUACCAAGGCAACGAUGCAUAGCCGACCUGAGAGGAUGAUCGGCCACACUGGAACUGAGACACGGUCCAGACUCCUACGGGAGGCAGCAGUAGGGAAUCUUGCGCAAUGGGCGAAAGCCUGACGGAGCAAUACCGCGUGAGUGAAGAAGGUCUUCGGAUUGUAAAGCUCUUUUAUUAGGGAAGAACAUCAGUGUAAGUAACUGUCGAUAUUUUGACGGUACCUAAUCAGAAAGCCCCGGCUAACUACGUG